rnacentral:lncRNA from 1 species
CAGAACCUUUCAGUGGUGAGAGAGGAGAGAAGGGACUUUCCUCGUCUGCCACUGGAUCCCAGUGUCUAGAGCAGUGGGUGAGACCGUGUGGCUGCGGAACAGACGUUUGUUGAAAGGACGGAUGAGAGAACACCGGAACACGCCUUAGAAAGUGCCCAUCAAGUACUUCCUUUUUGCAUGAAGAGUCUGAAGUGGUCUGUGGUUUAUUUCUGCCUCCCUCCUGCCUGCUGCUUUUCCUCCCUGCUGCCCCAUUUCAGUAUCCACAGCUUUGUACGAGUCACUUAGUCUAAAUGUGGUAUCUCUUGGCAAAAUGUGUAUUUUGUACUUGCUCUUCCUUCUGAAGCGACACAUUGCCUGUAGCCCUGUGCCUGCCAACCAUCUUGCUGCUGUCCAUCGGAACUCCUUCCUGCCCAGAUCUGUCUGUCCUGUCCCCUCUUCCUCUGAUGUCCUUCCUGUCAUUGUUCCCCACCUGGCCCUCUCCCAUCCUGUGGUCACAAUGUGGACGAGUUCAUUGCGGUAAAGCCUUUCUGGGCCAGCCUCUCAUGGGGGCAUUUCUCUGUCCCCUGCUUGUGAAUCCUUCUGUUUUCCUUCAAGUACUUACCAUGCAUGCUACGUGUUGAGCACAUGGAGAGUAAGGGGCCAGCACAACAGCGACAAGAUGCUGCGGGAACGGAGCAUGCACGUGAGCUGACUCACUGCUCUCUCUGCCGUGACUUUCACAAGGAAUCAACCACUAUGAAGGACAAGCAUCUUUUAGGAUUUUGGGAUCUGCGUAGCUGGGUCAGUGCUGGGAUGGGGGACAUGAAAGGACCCAGUGCUGUGGUGGGUGCUCCUGGCCCAAUCCUCUUUCUCAGAAGCGUCACUCACCAAUCUUCUCCCAAACUGGCUGUGAGUAUAACAAAGACCUUCUUCCUAGUAUUAACACUAGAUUGGCUUCCCAGGAUCUGAUCUUUACCGUGGGUUUUUCUCCUCAAGAAAUUAGAGAAGCUGCUGAGCCACCGGCAGGUGUUAGGCUGUAACCAGGUCCUGUAGCUCUCUGGAGCCCCAGGCUAAUGAACAGCAGGUCUUCAUGAUGUGUGCUGAGAACCGGGUUAACUCAUUUCCCGGGGUGGCCUGCGGACAGCGUCCUCGUGCUGACGGCAGGGUGCAGAGGCACCCAGGACAGGGGGCCCCCACCCCACCUGUCCAGGUGCCUGUGCUCCUGGGGAGGCUCCUGGCCACUUUGCACCAAAACAUCUUUGCUUCUCCCAAAGGGACUUCCUUCCCAAAGCUGAGGAUGGUUUGAAACAAGCCAACAAUGAGCGGGACAAGAUUUAUCCUUGGGCCAUUCACCCACUCCAUCCUGUGCACCCUCCCCUCACCAGACACAGCCCUUCUCUUUGGCCCAGGAGGGCACCUGCUGUCAAAAGCCUUCUCAUCAAAGCGUCAUGCCCUCUUCCACAAGGAGUGACUGUCUACACGAGGACGCAGGUGACACAGAGUCCUUGUUCUCCAUGGCUCUUGUGAAAAGGGACUAAUGCACAGCCAGAAGAACGUCAAGCACAGCUGGGCAGGGGGAGAGAUGGGGAGAAAGUUGGAACGACUGGGCCCGAGAUGGUACCGUGCAGGCAGCAGCACCCCCCUAGAACAGAGUGAGGGGUGAGGGUGGAGCACCCUCCAGGGGUCAAGAUGGGCCGGCAGCAAUGACAGGCUGCCCCUGGGCACUUGCGGCUUCUGUUGUGUGGCCAAAGUAUCAGGCUUACCAUCCUCAGAGAAUAAGGUCAUUUUACUUCUUUAAAAAUGUAGAAUUUAAAUAAUUUUACCAAAAUUAGGUUUAAAGAUGAUUCGUAUGAGUAAGUUCUUAAAUCAAAGCCUGAGGAAGAACUGCUCCCUGCCUCCUACUGUCACACGGCUCUCAUCACGCAGGCGACCCUGUUUACAGCCCAACGUCAUGGCUGCAAUCUUCUGGCUCACACCGAGGUCUUGUUUGGGAACCAUGCUCUUUUAUUAGGGCAGAGGGAACAUUUAAAGGGGUUUUCACAGUUUCUCUGGGCCAACAGUACUCUAACUUUCUGUUUUCCUUUUCUACUGUUACAUGGAAGGAAGGAGCCCCUCUCUGUGUUAAAAUGUGGGGAUUAUUUUGUAAAUUUGACUAUGAAGAAGAGUUAUUUACUCUUUUUAAAAAGUGAUUUACUUUUUUUUUUAAAAGAUAAAGUAGUCUUAGCUGAUAUCUGCAAGGUGUUAUAAGGACUUUUUGGGUCAAAUUACUCUAAAGUCACCCAUUAAGAGAAAUCUGACACAUAUGAGACAAAAUGUGUGUGACUUAAUCUGUCUGGAACCCUACAGUGGUCCCCUUUGCUGAAAGACGAGGUAUAAAUGCUGUCUAAUGUGGAUAAGUGUAGGACACACAUAGUGAGCUAAGUUGAUGCUGACAGGUAAAGUGAAGACACGAAGAAAUCUUAACGUUUGACUCAGGAGCUUGCACUUAAUUUGGUAGGUAGUAGGGAGCUGUUGAAGGUUUUAGAGUAAAGAGAACGGUAAUCUCAGGGUGGUGCUUUAGCUGCAGGAGAAAUGGAGGGAGGAAGAAAGCUCAAAAGUUUGUUGGGGCAGGGCCUACAGGACCACAGCAGAUCAAAUGUGGAGACUAAGGAAGAAAGAGGAGUGAAAGAUGACUCAGAUUUUGAGCUAAGAAGGAUGACAGCUGCCUGAAAGGACAGAGGCCGGAAGUUGUUGGGGGAAAAUAUAAUUAACUUGACCUUGAACAUGCAGAGUUCGAGGAUCAAAUGAAAAAAUGGAUUGAAGCACUUCCAGGAGUGUACGGCACUGUUCUCACAUAAUAAAAUAAUAAUAAUACCAUUCGUUAAACAUGGAGCAAGUAUCUUAUAUGGACUCUCCCAGAUACAGGCUGAGCCCCAUCGUCAUGAAAACGAUCUUUAAGUCCAGGAGAAGAACCUCUGGGCAGAGGGGCCUGGGUCCUGGACUUAUGUGUCAGUUGGGGCCAAUGGGAGGAAGCAGUGAGAAAGUCGCACAGGACCCACAGGGAGUGAGGUGGCUGGAGGCCACUCUAGGCAGCUCGGCGGCCUGGAGACGAUGACUUUGAGGAAGAAGAGCACGGACUUUCCAGUAGGAUUGGCUGAGUUCAAAUUCAGAUUCUGCAAUUGAACAAGCUGGGUUAUUCUGGGCAACUUAACCUUCGGGUGCUCAGUUUCCCCGUCUGAAAUUGGGGCUAUGCCAAGUAUCUGCUCUUAACGGUUGUUGUGAGGACUAAGUGAGAUUAUGCUGAAAAGCGCUAAGAACAGCGCCUGGAAUACGGCAACGACUCAAAACCAUUAAUGAUGCCAAGUGCUAAUGGGGUGAAAAAUGGAAAUUAAGAAAAGAAACCUAAUUACACGGGAGUCGGGAAGGCCUGUAGGGGGAGCUCUCAUGCCCCAUCAUUGCUUGCAUCUCAGACAGGAAGCGCAACUGCUUUAUUACUGAAGGAAGAUUUCUCUCCCCACCCAGCAG